rnacentral:rRNA from 1 species
CCCUUAGAUGUCCUGGGCUGCACGCGCGCUACACUGAUGUGUCCAGUAAGCACCUAACCUAUUCCGAGAGGAGCGGGUAACCUUAGCAAAGCACAUCGUGAUGGGGAUAGAUUAUUGCAAUUAUUAGUCUUGAACGAGGAAUUCCUAGUAAGCACAAGUCAUCAGCUUGUGUUGAUUACGUCCCUGCCCUUUGUACACACCGCCCGUCGCUCCUACCGAUUGAGUGCUCCGGUGAACAAUUUGGACUGCUUUGAUUCGAUUAGAAUUUGAAGCGGAAAGUUUAGUGAACCUUAUCACUUAGAGGAAGGAGAAGUCGUAACA